rnacentral:misc_RNA from 1 species
GAUUUAUUCCAAAAGAAGCUUAUAUGAGAAUGAGAAUAUUACAACCACAUUUAUGUUGACCUAAUUCUUGUACAAUGAGGAUUUCUAAUAUUAAUAGAAUUUACAUACACCCUUAGUAAUAAAAAAUGCCACAUACCGUCAAAAUCUUACCAUACCAAUUGCAUGGUAGGUUGAAGUUGGUAGUAGAAAAGAAUAUUAAUCUAAUUGCAUUUAUCCAUUUAAAUUCUUGUUAUCAAUUUGAAUUUGUACUCUUCCUAUUACGAGAGCCAAAAUCAAUCCAUUAAAUAAUUAUCUUGGUGGCCUUUGUAAAUCAUUAGUAACAUCUAGCAACAUGCUAUAAUUAUGUGAAUUUUGUUUGUCAAACUUUCCAUUCCGUGUAUUUCAAUCUCUCUAUCACAAAGUCCCAAUUGAGCACCGAGUAAAUAUAUAUGGUCAAAUUCAGCAUAAUUGAAUUGUAUCCUUUUAAUCUUAUGAUGAAAUACUUGUAAUUGUUUGAUGGUAUGAAAAAUCUUAAAACUUUGUUCACGAUUUCAAUUGUAUCCUAUGCUAUUUGUGAAAUAAUAAAUAAAAGAAGGAAAGAGAGAUUUGGG